rnacentral:rRNA from 1 species
AUGCUGACGACGUUCCAGGGCUUCCGGGCUUGCCUCCAUUGGCUUGGAGCUCCAGGGCGAUGUGGCGGAGCCGAUGGAUACGUCGGGGAGGCGAGGAGGUGGCUCGGGACGCGGCAGCGGCGAGCGACAGCGACGGUGCCGCUCGGGUGUGCGAGAGGGAGAGGCGAGAGGACGAACAGGGGGGACGUGAAGGCUCGGGGUCCGCGUGGCGCACCUAGCGACGUCCAGCAGCAAGCGGCAAGCAUGAGGUGGCUGGCGCGUGCACGCGCGCGUCGGGCACACGCCCUCCUGCCUACUGGCAGGAGGUUGAAGACGGUGGCGGCUGCGGUGGGCUGGGCCGCACAGUGCUGGACCAGCACAGGAGCUGGGCCGGCUCUAGUGGGCUGCACGGGUAAGCACUUCUCUCUCUCUCUCUCUCUCUCUCUCUCUCUCUCUUGUUUCUGUUUUCUAUUUUGUUUCUCUGUUUUGGUUUAG